AAGUCGUAACAAGGUUUCCGUAGGUGAACCUGCGGAAGGAUCAUUAUCGAGUGUUCUGAACGGGUUGUCGCUGGCCUUUCACGAGGCAUGUGCACGCCUGGCUCAUCCACUCUCAACCUCUGUGCACUCUAUGUAAGAAAUGGUGGACGAGCUGGCUGUUUGAGCUGGCAAGGAAGGCUUUUCUUAUGUUUUAUUACAAAUGCUUCAGUUAUAGAAUGUUUACUGUGUAUAACACAAUAUAUACAACUUUCAGCAACGGAUCUCUUGGCUCUC
rnacentral:misc_RNA from 1 species